AGCAGGCUCCUUGCAGGGAGCCCGACAUGGGACCUGAUCCCAGAUCCCGGGAUCACGCCCUUAGCCAAAGGCAGAUGCUCAACGGCUGAGCCAUUCAGGCAUCCCGGGACUGUCCUUUUAAAUGGAAUAUAUGUAGCUCUAUGAAAAGUCCCUGCUUUGUCCUUUUUCCUCUAACUGUUCUAUUCCCUCUUGGUCUCCAUGGGGUGAUGGUGACAGUGGUGAAGAGCAGACAGAGAAAUCAAGAGGUAAAAAUCUAAUUCAAGGAUUGUUUAAUUUUCCUAAUCAAACUGACCACUUCUGCAUUGUGCACCUUUGGAUCACCAGUUUCUUUGGUAACAUAAUCUCACCAGGAAGGGUAAGAAUAUUAUACAAUUGUGAGAAUAUCAUACUUUGAGUACUUCCCUUGGAAUUAUUUCCACUCUGGGUUGUGUCAGUCUGUUUCUGGUUGGUUGGGUCCUUGCUUCCAGUGAGCCCCACCCACCCAAACACUUCUAGGAUUACCUGGGGAGGUGGGAUUGUGACCGCCCUAUGCCUCAUUUAGCCAGAUCAGAUGGGGCUGAAUGGUGGAAAUUGGCACGGUUCCCAGAGGAGGAAACAAGCUUGCUUUCCAACUGGUGUCCCAGGCAGGUGCAGGAGACACUAGCAGAGCCAGUUUAACCAGCAUCUUGGGCAAGGUUUGGCCCAUACUUUUUUCCUCUUUGCAGUUUCCUCUGGCAGAAGUGGAAACACUGCUUGGCAGGUUACAAUGCCUUUUCACAAAUGUGAAAAAGCCCUAGAGGCCAGGGCUGCCAAAGAUGGGAGAUGGUCUGCAUCAGAGGUUUGGCACGGGACUGAGUUCAGUCUCAGCUCUAGAAUACACAGCAGCAGCUGCCUACUUGGCUUUUUCCCAGGAAAUCACUGACAGUUGACAGUUGCUGCCUCCGUUUCCCUUGCUCUCUGUUGCCUGGAACAGUUAGUAUCACUACGACAAGAAUGACCUUUGAGAGCUGAACUCAGCUUCUUUUACUUGUUAUAAUGAAAGUCACCUUCGCGCCCCCAAGAAUGUGCCAGGGUACAUUCGCUGCUGGAUUUAAAUAAUCAAGUGCAGUCCCUGAGGGGUGAGCUAUCUUCUUUCCCCAAAACAUACAUAAUCCUUUAGUCUACUUUUCUCUUUACUACUGAAUUUUCUCUCCUUUAGGUUUUAAUGCUCCUCUUAUUUCAUUCCCAUUAGCAGGUUUCACAGCCUGGUUCAUAUUCCAGCUAUGAAAUAGUUCACAUAGUUCUGGGUAGACAUAAUAUUUACGGGAACUGAAGAUGGGUGGAUUCUGAUAAUGGCUUGUGGAAUAGUCUUCAGUGCAGUCAAAAUAACAAAGAAUUCAAGGAACUAAUGCUUUGAGACUUUAGGCCCUCAUAAACUUCCCAAAUGUUCCUCUUAAACCCUGUGUGAAUAUCAGCAGAAUACAGCAGAGUGUUGCCCUGGG